ensembl:lncRNA
UAAUUAAAUCUCUAACAUAGUGUCCUUUUUUUUGCCACAAACCCCAAAUUGUUUCAUCGUUUGACGGGAAUUAAAGAGAUAAAUCCCCAAGAUGGGUGUCUUAGUGAGUAUAUUAAAACAAUGAUUAAAACAAUGAGUGUUUUAUUCCACCUGCUCGGCUCCUUUGUGCUUACAAAAUAAAUUAAAUGUUAAAACUUGAAAAUCCAUGAUCAUCAUUCUUUUUUUUUUUUAAUUUUAUUUAUUUAUGGUUCUUAAGUGUUGAGUGUGUUGAGUGUUUCCCAUACUUGCGUUGCUGGGCAACUUCUUCCUAAACAAGCAGGGUUUUUUGAAAGCAAAACAUUUUACAAAUCACUCAGAUUUUUAAUAUACUCAGCCUAGAACUGUAUCGCAUCCCACUACACAAUACUAUUUGGGGUGCAGUUCAUAGUUGUGGUACAGUCAGUGUUCGUUAUCAUUUUACUAAAGGAUCCCUCUCUCCUUUUCCUGCAGUUGCUUGGUUUGCUCAUUCAAAUAAAUGCACGCCGUGACAUCACGAGGCUGCCAAGUAGUAGUCGGGUGCUACAUUCCCCUCCAGAAUUUGCAACCCAGCCAGCGUGCUUCCCCCGCUGGCUCAGGAGCACCGGGAUCAGGUGGGAUGAGACGCACCUGGACCAGACCUCCGUGUCCACGAAAAGAAUAAGGGUCAGUGUGGGAAGCGGGUCGAGGGGGACGCACAGGCUGAAAGAGACCCCUGCAACACACGGCCUUAAAAACGGCAUGAAGCAAAGUGGAAUUAAGGAGAGGGAAAAAUACCUAGCCGGUGAAGCGAGGCCCCUUAUAGGUUCAAUUUUUUAUACUGUUCUGUGGAUUUAACUGUUAUCUUAUGUGGGAGACUUUUUGUUAGUUUUGGACUUUCAAGUUGGUUUGAGAAGAUUAACACAUGACCUUUUUUUGGAAGUCUAUGCUUUUUGCCUGUCUGUUGAUUAAAACCUGCCAAUGUUUGACUUCUCAUGACCUUAAAAUACAUUAAAAUAUUUUUUUAAGUAAAUAUGCAUGGCUUUUUUUUGAAAAUGAAGUGCGGUUAAACAAACACCCGCCCCAUUACGUAGGUGUAAGUUAAGUUCAGUUUAAUUAAAUUGAUUUAAGUCAACGCAUGUGUCUGAAUUGAACAUUUUCAAUGGUAAUGUUUGAAAACGCAAACCAAACAAGUAAACGCCCAUAUACUGGAGGUCACUUAUAUGUUGCUAGACUUUUUAAUUUCUAAUAGUUAUUACUCACUAUUUAUUUUCAGCACUGAUGGAUAAGAUAAUGGCUAAGACAAUGUAUUUUAUUCUGAUUUGUCAGAACAAGACAAAAAGACCAAAAUAUAAUAUCUUGGAAGAUAGCAUUUUGGAUUUAGGGCUUCAGCUCCCACCAGGGUCACUCAUGCUGUAAAAGAUUCACAAUCAUGGAACUAUGUACAGCUUAGCAUAAUGGCAUCCACCAAACGUCACGUCAAUGGCCUAUUUUAGCAUAUUUCAGCUUCACUGAGUGAGCAGCUCGCUACAGGGUUUUUCUGAAUGCAGUUUUAAAUUUCCACCCUUAGUAGACGGCAACUGGGAUGUUUUUUUUGCAGGCACUUCCUCUUGGCCAAAUGAUCUACUACACAAUUUUAUAGAAGCUGAUCAGUUCACUGAAUACAGAAAAGCAGAAUGUUGGUGGUUAAAUGUCUCUCUGACGUUGUGUGGCACUAAUUGAGCCACGGCAGGAGGUGAUGGACACUGGGUUUGAGUAUGCAGACAGCAUUCAUGUGGUUGAACCCACACAGUCGCAGCACCUCACUGCGUUGUUGGUUUUCAUUCCCAUUGGCCACCAUUUAUAACACGUAUGAACCAAUGGCCUUUUAGGUCCCUUUUAAAUGUAUGACACACUCCUGACCUCAACAGCAUCCACAGUAUAAUGUUUCAAUGCUGAGGGUUGUUGUGGUUUGAUAAAAAGUUCAGUUAACUGUUGGAGCCUAAUGAAAGGCUCUUAGCAGAGAUGAUGGCAAACAGAGAGACUGACUCUCUAUAUGGUGUCUCUAAGUCCUAUAUUCUAAAACAAUAAAGCCAAUCCAGUUACACCGUUUUCAUGCCUCAACUUUUAGCUAACCUUGCGAACAGGAUUUAAGCGGGAUUUUUUUGGUUAAAACCAUCAGUCAUUUUAAAUAGCCUCAUUUAAAAAGCAAUAAAACCCAAUUGCUAUGAUCGAUUUUCCAAAAACAGCAGUAAUUUCCCCAAAAAAAUGUAAAAUCCAAAUGCACCAAAUUGUUUUGAUUUAUUAUUAACAGGAUCAUUCAUUGACCAAACAUGUCUAAUACCUCCAGAGUGGGAAGAUGGGGGCUGUGGCUCAGAGGCAUAGAACAAGCUGGAGGGGUUUCACGAUUUUAGCAAGUUCUUCAAUGCUUUAACGAGGACUAAGAUCUCAGGAUCCAGGACCACGAAGCAUUACUGGGUGUCCUCUCUCUCCUUUCUCAGAUGGACAGUGUCUGAUGACCAACUCAUGCAAACCUAAACAAUAACCAGUGAAAAACUCAGCUUACUUGUUCAGAUUUUCCUCCUGAACUAUGGUUUUUCCUUUAAAAAGGCUAUAACAUUUUGCUUUAUCACUAGGUGUCCCACCAUACCAAGCGUUUAAACUACAAUAAAAUGUCCUAAAAGUUCAUGCUAUAUAUAAAUAAAUAAGUAAAUAAAGGGGUCUUUUUUUUUUUACAGAUUUCAAUACAAUCAGACUUAUUUUUGCAACCUAUUUUAAAAAAUAGGUUGCAAAUAUAGGUAGGUAAUAUCUGCAAAAUAUUUUUGCAAGUGGCCCCCCAUAGUAGCAGAGAGAAUACAAGUUCAAGACACUUUCACGUUGGCCUCUCUUGCUGGAUCCGAAGGUUACCACCUGGUCCAGAGCUGCCUGGGGACUUGGCCAUAUCAUCGGUCUGGACCAUUCCUGGGAAUGCAAUGUCUCUAGAAAGCCUUGAGGGAAUUUCUUUAAAUUGGCCAGAAAUGCCCACCUGGGUUUUUGGAAGUCAAAGGUUAAGGUAACUCUGAUUAGGACGAUUGAUCUUCGCUGGCCUCACAAUUCAAUUCAUUCAUUUUAAUUGUUAUAUUCACCUUUUGAGUAUUCAAAUUCACAAGGAUGAAUCAAUGUAUCGUUUCCUUCAUUUUCAAUUUCACUGCAUGAAGUGUUUUGUCAACGGUCAAUCUGCUGUUCUAUAAUUUCUGUACUGGCCUUCUGGAGCCAAGCAUUUCAGCACCACGUCAUGUUUGGAACCUCUGUCAGUCCAGGAGAGGAAAUCAUACUUUACAGCCCAUUAGUGUCUAGACAGGAUUAGCCAAUUAUGGGUUGUAUUUAUUUAACCAAACAAUACACUAGUGCUUGUUGCAGACACACACCUGGUGGAGAGCUGCACAUUACAGAGAGCACAUUCUAGUUUUACCUCUCAUCUCCUUAUUGCACAUAUGCUAAUCAACCUCUGUCCUCAUCAUCUUUUCUCUUUCUCUGGUUUUAGGAGCUUACAUAUUUUACUUUAUUACACAUGGCGUUCAAUUAAUGGUUUUAAUGAACAAUGAGGUCACGUUAAUGACACCAAGCUUAGUAGUUAAUGUUGCAUGACGGGCACAACAGGACCUAUGAGACACUUAAUCCCCUGUGUGUGUUUAUGUGCUGUAUGCAUUCUUUGUGUGUCUUUGUAUGAUGGAAAGUUACCCUGUUUCAUUUUGUGUUCACAGCUCUCACUUUUGACAAAGACAAUUUUGCCUUUUUAAUUGUGUUCAGUUAUCAGCAGUGAUCGCUGAGAAAACCAGCCAGUGCUGUUUGGGACAACAGCUCCCCGGGGAAGAGAGUAGGCGGAGAAAAAAAAUAAAGAAAAGGUAAAACAUCUGCUACAAGUCAUAAAUGUGUGUGAGUGCAAAACUUGUAUUACCCAAAUUUUCUUCGAUAUAAGACGCUAAAUUGUCACUAAUGGUGAUUACUAUGGAAAGAUUAUUUCUUUCAAAGUGUCAAAAAAGAGGUAGACGGAGGGCUGAAUAAUCAAGUGGUAUUGACAUUUAGUAGACAAUACUGAUGCUGGAGGCUUUGCAAGAGCCAUAAAGAGUCAAUGAUUUUUAUAUCCUGAAAUUACGUUUUAGAGCUUGUAAACUGCACUCAAUAACACCCACAUAUUGUACAUAUUGUGCAGUAAUAGCCUGUUUACCAGUGUCAGUAGAUGUGUUUGUGUGUCCUUUGCUAGGUCACAUCAUGCACACCUACUCUUCAACAUCGACACCGUCUUCAGCUUUUCAGCCUACCGCUGCUAGAAGGAUUAGGACCGAUCUAUAGUCAGCACACAGGAGAGAUAUGGUGCUCUGUUAGCAUUAAGUAAGAGAUCUUACUUUACUCAAGGCUUCACAAUGAACAACAGGACACCUUUUUCGACAGAUAUUCAAGAGUUUGGUGAUGAAUGUCUUUGAGUGGGAUACUGCAUGGUCAAGAAGUUCGAGGGCACAUUUCCACAAUGUGAACAAAUGGUUUUUAACAAAUAUAUUGUCCUCAGCUCUCAUUUAUAUACAAGACGUGCAGUAUAAUAAUGUCUC